CCCGGCCCCAAGCCCGCCCCGGACCCCCGCGGCUGCCGGGGCCGCCCGGGCAGGGUGCAGCGCUGCUCCGCCCAGGUGUCCGUGUUCACCUUCCUGCCCGACGUGCCGCUGUCGAUGGUGGAGUGCGGCCGGGAGCCGCAGCCGGGUGACAGCGCCCAGCCCCGCUCCCCUGGCACCAACACAGGUCGCUCAUCCUCCCCCUCCUCCUCCUCCUCCUCCUCCUCAUCAUCAUCAUCAUCAUCCUCGGGGCCCCCGCCACGGCCUCGGUCCCUGCAGGGCCCGUCCCGCCGCCCCCUGUCCCCAAGGGAGCUGCAAUAAAGAGAUUUCGGGCUCGGACGUGUGCGUGUGUGGGGCUGAAGCUUUGGGGGACCGGGGGGCGCCCUCGGCGUUGGCCAAAGAGCGAUGGGGCAAGUUUGGGCUUGUGCGAGCCCAGGCACCAACCUGACACGGGCAGCGUGUCACCACCGGGGACCCCGAGGGGUGCGGAUGCCACCGCCCAUCCCCGGGGACACAGCGGGACCCCCCCGCACCGCGGC